GACGAACGCUGGCGGCGUGCUUAACACAUGCAAGUCGAACGGAAAGGCCCUGCUUUUGUGGGGUGCUCGAGUGGCGAACGGGUGAGUAACACGUGAGUAACCUGCCCUUGACUUUGGGAUAACUUCAGGAAACUGGGGCUAAUACCGGAUAGGAGCUCCUGCUGCAUGGUGGGGGUUGGAAAGUUUCGGCGGUUGGGGAUGGACUCGCGGCUUAUCAGCUUGUUGGUGGGGUAGUGGCUUACCAAGGCUUUGACGGGUAGCCGGCCUGGGAGGGUGACCGGCCACAUUGGGACUGAGGUACGGCCCAGACUCCUACGGGAGGCAGAAGUGGGGAAUAUUGCACAAUGGGCGGAAGCCUGAUGCAGCAACGCCGCGUGCGGGAUGACGGCCUUCGGGUUGUAAACCGCUUUCGCCUGUGACGAAGCGUGAGUGACGGUAAUGGGUAAAGAAGCACCGGCUAACUACGUG
rnacentral:rRNA from 1 species